rnacentral:rRNA from 1 species
AUUGAACGCUGGCGGCAUGCUUUACACAUGCAAGUCGAACGGUAACAGGCCGCAAGGUGCUGACGAGUGGCGAACGGGUGAGUAAUGCAUCGGAACGUGCCCAGUCGUGGGGGAUAACGCAGCGAAAGCUGUGCUAAUACCGCAUACGAUCUGUGGAUGAAAGCGGGGGACCUUCGGGCCUCGCGCGAUUGGAGCGGCCGAUGCCAGAUUAGGUAGUUGGUGGGGUAAAGGCUCACCAAGCCGACGAUCUGUAGCUGGUCUGAGAGGACGACCAGCCACACUGGGACUGAGACACGGCCCAGACUCCUACGGGAGGCAGCAGGGGGGAAUUUUGGACAAUGGGCGCAAGCCUGAUCCAGCAAUGCCGCGUGCAGGAAGAAGGCCUUCGGGUUGUAAACUGCUUUUGUACGGAGCGAAAAGGCUCCCUCUAAUACAGGGGGCUCAUGACGGUACCGUAAGAAUAAGCACCGGCUAACUACGUGCCAGCCGCCGCCGUAAAAC